rnacentral:misc_RNA from 1 species
GAUGAAGAACGCAGCGAAAUGCGAUACGUUAUGUGAAUUGCAAAUUCAGUGAAUCAUCGAGUCUUUGAACGCACAUUGCGCCCCCUGGUAUUCCGGGGGGCAUGCCUGUCCGAGCGUCAUUGCUGCCCUCAAGCACGGCUUGUGUGUUGGGCCCCGUCCUCCGAUCCCGGGGGACGGGCCCGAAAGGCAGCGGCGGCACCGCGUCCGGUCCUCGAGCGUAUGGGGCUUUGUCACCCGCUCUGUAGGCCCGGCCGGCGCUUGCCGAUCAACCCAAAUUUUUUAUCCAGGUUGACCUCGGAUCAGGUAGGGAUACCCGCUGAACUUAAGCAUAUCAAUAAGCGGAGGA